UACGGGGGGGGCAAGCGUUGUCCGGAAUUAUUGGGCGUAAAGAGCUCGUAGGCGGUGUGUCGCGUCGGCCGUGAAAACCUGCAGCUUAACUGUGGGCGUGCGGUCGAUACUGCCAUGACUAGAGUUCGGUAGGGGAGUGUGGAAUUCCUGGUGGAGCGGUGAAAUGCGCAGAUAUCAGGAGGAACACCCGUAGCGAAGGCGGCACUCUGGGCCGAUACUGACACUGAGGAGCGAAAGCGUGGGGAGCGAACAGG
rnacentral:rRNA from 1 species